rnacentral:rRNA from 1 species
GGCGGCGUGCCUAAUACAUGCAAGUCGAGCGAACAGACGAGGAGCUUGCUCCUUUGACGUUAGCGGCGGACGGGUGAGUAACACGUGGGUAACCUACCUAUAAGACUGGGAUAACUUCGGGAAACCGGAGCUAAUACCGGAUAAUAUUUCGAACCGCAUGGUUCGAUAGUGAAAGAUGGCUCUGCUAUCACUUAUAGAUGGACCUGCGCCGUAUUAGCUAGUUGGUAAGGUAACGGCUUACCCAGGCAACGAUACGUAGCCGACCUGAGAGGGUGAUCGGCCACACUGGAACUGAGACACGGUCCAGACUCCUACGGGAGGCAGCAGUAGGGAAUCUUCCGCAAUGGGCGAAAGCCUGACGGAGCAACGCCGCGUGAGUGAUGAAGGUCUUCGGAUCGUAAAACUCUGUUAUUAGGGAAGAACAAACGUGUAAGUAACUGUGCACGUCUUGACGGUACCUAAUCAGAAAGCCACGGCUAACUACGUGCCAGCAGCCGCGGUAAUACGUAGGUGGCAAGCGUUAUCCGGAAUUAUUGGGCGUAAAGCGCGCGUAGGCGGUUUUUUAAGUCUGAUGUGAAAGCCCACGGCUCAACCGUGGAGGGUCAUUGGAAACUGGAAAACUUGAGUGCAGAAGAGGAAAGUGGAAUUCCAUGUGUAGCGGUGAAAUGCGCAGAGAUAUGGAGGAACACCAGUGGCGAAGGCGACUUUCUGGUCUGUAACUGACGCUGAUGUGCGAAAGCGUGGGGAUCAAACAGGAUUAGAUACCCUGGUAGUCC